UGCAACUGGUCUUCACUUGUUGUUGCCAUUAAAAGUCGGUGUAUGAUGAUUUACAUUUAUAGCUUAAAAACUCACAGUGCUUACAUUUAUCUUAAGGUCAUUCCAAAAAUUAGCAUGCAUGUGUAACAAAAAUUGGCUUAGAAUGGAAUUUUCAAAGACAUUUGGCACCAUGAAGAUGCCAGUAAAUAUAUUACACGUGAAAAUUGUACAUGUAAAUUAAAGCUAAAUGCAAAAUUUGACUGUGUUAUGUAUUGUUGUUUUUGUUGUCUUUAAAGAUUAUGUGACUGUGUGAUGUGUCCAAAGUAUCAAAUAUAAUGUAAUCUACUUAAAGGAUCAAUACUUGGUCAAUGAGGAUUUCUCUCAUGUUAAGUCAUCAAAAGGUCUUCAACUCCAGUGAAGGACCAAGAAUAUACAUUGUGGGAGACAGCUACAUUCACCGUGGGGAAAAAAGAGCGAGAGAGAUGACUGGGAGAAACCUGGGACUAAAUGCCCUCAUCCAGUGGUUUGGUAGGGGAGGGAUGAUUUGGAGAAACGUCCUCCCCUACUUUGAACAGUGCCUCCAAGGAAGAGCUGUGCCAGACAUCCUCUUGGGUCACUGUGGCGGAAACGAUCUUGGAAAAACCAAGAGUAUCCAUCUUGCCGCAAGAAUAAAGCAGGACUUGCAAGACCUCCACAAGAAGUAUCCAGAGAUGAAAAUAAUAUUCUCUACAAUAACUCAGAGAAACCUGUGGAGGUCUGCACAACCCCAAAAGAUUGAGAAAGCACGGCGCUUCAUUAACAGUGUCAUGGCUUCCGUUAUCUUAUGUAUUGAUGGAGCCAUUGUUCAUCAUCGUCAGAUAAAGCGUAGACAUCCUGGACAUUUUUUGCCUGAUCUAGUUCAUCUGACCCCUUUGGGAAAUGAUAUUUUUUUAAACAAUAUUGUCCAGUGUUUGAAAGACCAAAUCAGGUAGGGUUUGAAGUGUUCUGCUGGAUUUAAACUUUCUAACCAAAGUUGUGACAUAAAAAAUUUCUAGAAAUUUUAAACUUUGUGACGUUUGAUGAACUACAUAUUUUAUUUAUUUAAAAAAAAAAAAUUAAGGGAAGCCAUCACACUGACAUCUGUCACAGCUGUUCCUUUUCAAUACUUUUCUUUGUUCUUCCAAUUUCCCCAUGGUGAAUGUAGCUAAGAUUUUGUAAAUAAAUUUUUACUUGCA